CCUGACACAGAGGGAGGAAUCGGGUGAAAGAUCAGUGAAGCGAGCAUGGACAUGUUGCUAGCGUGACGUUCCCUACGAGAGAAAGUAGAGAGGGAUGGAAAAUGAGGAGGAUGACAAGGUUCCACCCACUCGUCCAUUAGCUCAACCAGCGACCGCUUCCAUCAUCUGCUGGAACAAAGUGUGAGGCGGAGAGAAGAGAGAAUGUGUGAUGGACAGAGAUAACACAGCACCGCCUCUCUUUAACUCCACCAUCUGUUCUUCUCCAGUGAGGAGAAAACACAGCGCAUACGCGUGUGUGUGGCUGAUGUGACCACAAUCUUUUAUUACGCUCCUCCUUCAACACGCUCAACAUACUGAUUGUACGAGCCAAUUUUCCCUCAUGAAAUCAUCUCUCCAGCCUUUCUGUGUAAUGAAGAACAGAUGUGAUCCGGUCUCUCGGGAGAUCGCUGGACUGGUCAUGAGGAGAGCUGCCAAAACCCAAGAAACCUGAGAGAAACCCCAAAACACAUUCUACUUUUCACUUUUUGUGUUUAGAGUGAGACGUUU